GACGAACGCUGGCGGCGUGCUUAACACAUGCAAGUCGAACGGAAAGGCCCUGCUUUUGUGGGGUGCUCGAGUGGCGAACGGGUGAGUAACACGUGAGUAACCUGCCCUUGACUUUGGGAUAACUUCAGGAAACUGGGGCUAAUACCGGAUAGGAGCUCCUGCUGCAUGGUGGGGGUUGGAAAGUUUCGGCGGUUGGGGAUGGACUCGCGGCUUAUCAGCUUGUUGGUGGGGUAGUGGCUUACCAAGGCUUUGACGGGUAGCCGGCCUGAGAGGGUGACCGGCCACAUUGGGAAUGAGAGACGGCCCAGACUCCUACGGGAGGCAGCAGGGGGGAAUAUGGCACAAUGGGCGGAAGCCUGAUGCAGCAACGCCGCGUGCGGGAGGACGGCCUUCGGGUGGUAAACCGCUUUCGCCUGUGACGAAGCGUGAGUGACGGUAAUGGGUAAAGAAGCAACGGCGAACUACGU
rnacentral:rRNA from 1 species